AUCUGACUUUUCAAACCAUGAGUUGGAAAAUGUUAGUCCUAGCAAUGUGCUGGUGAAAUUUUUCUUGAUCCUUGAGAGGUGGAGGCGUGCAGAAGUUGAGAAUUGUGAAAUGUACUUAGCAAGCAUGAAAGCUGAUUGUGAUUCAACUGGUAUCCUUGUCCAUCCUUCUGGUGCAGAGCUCUCUCUUCAUGAUGCUAUAAAUGGGUUAAAGAGUCACUAUGGUGACAAACAGGGCAAGCUGUUUAGGAUUUGGGUUGAUCAGAUAUUAUCUACAAAGAUUGGUUCAGAUACAUGGCUAGUAAAGUUCAAGCAGUGGGAGUUAUCUGGUGAGGAGCAGCAAGGUUGUGUGAACACUGCUAUAAUAAAUAUAAAGAACUCGG
rnacentral:misc_RNA from 1 species